GCGUGUGCGUGUGCGUGUGCUAUUGCUUUGUUUUGUCUUAUAAAGGUAAAGCUUGUCGGCACGUGAAACGAGAAGUCCAUUAGUUGACAUUUUCCUGUUUUUAGAAGCUACUCCCUUUUGGGGAGCAGGUCUGCAUGACUUGCUUACCUGAUGUGUCCCUGUUGUCAGGUCAGAGUGUGUUUCUGUGAGCUGUCAUUGUGGGGAACCAAUUGCUUUGUCAUAUAUCUGGUUCCGAACUAUAACUUGUUUGGGAAGUCUACUGAUGUUCCUGCUGGUUUUCCCAAGUGUGCUUUCGCAAUGCAUGGUAUCCACGUCACUUGGAAAGUGGGCUUUGUUGUCUGUCUGAAUUUAGGGUCACUUAAGAAAGGGGCAGUUAAAAAUAAAGCACAAUGCCUCACAUGGGACAAAGUUCCAAAAUGCCAAAUUCUUCUAUUUUUUACAACAACCUGUAGUUAUGUAAAAUAACUAGUACUGGGGGAGGGAAGGGGGUAGAAUUGGCUCAAUUGGAAAGACUCUCCCACUUCACACUAAGCUUGUUUGUCACCAUGAGAUAGCAUUGGCUGCCCAGGAUGCUGCUAUUUAAAAAAAAAAAAAAAGCAAAACAAAACAAAAAAAAAGAACCCUCAUUUAUAUGUGUGUAUUUUUUAAAGCUACACUCUGUUCAGUGUUUUUACAAAUCUGUUUAUAUGACAUUGAUAAACUAAAGUUGGUCUUUUGACGAGAGGGAGGAUGUCAUGGUUGGUUGUAAUUUUGCCUUUACAAGGUAACUGGGGUUGGGGUGGGGAGGGAGUGUGCCUCCUUGACAUUUUGUUCAAGUUAUAGAUUCAGUGAAGCUAUGUAUUGUUUUAAGUUGCUUAAUGCAUUGUAUUAGGUCCUCAAACAGAAUAAAGGUUGUUUUGAAACUUAAAA
rnacentral:lncRNA from 1 species